UUUGGAUUCCCUGUUCCAUGUACUGGCCAGGUCACAGAGGUUUGCACUCCCUGUUUCAUGUACUGGCCAGGUCACAGAGGUUGCAUUCCCUGCUCCAUGUACUGGCCAGGUCACAGAGGUUGCAUUCCCUGUUCCAUGUACUGACCAGGUCACAGAGGUUUGCACUCCCUGUUCCAUGAACUGGUCAGGUCACAGAAAUUGGAUUCCCUGCUCCAUGUACUGGCCAGGUCACAGAGGUCUGGAUUCCCUGUUCCACGUAUCUCACAUGGGCUGGACUCCCAGAAGCAGCUGCUCCAGUACAUUUUUGGGCUGAGGAAGCAGAGCGGACAAGCCGGAGCCCUCGCCGCGUCCCUGGGGAGAUCCGUGCGGGACAGGUGGAUCACAGGAAUAAGAGAAAAGAAGGACUUGGAAGAGGCAACAGGAAUCAAGUGCUUGUGCCAGUUUAUCCCCAAAUCAUAAACCAAGGAAAGACAAUGUGUGUAAAUAAAAGGAGUCAGGAGAGACCAUAAACCCACGUGUUGGUUUGGGAGAGAGGAGACACUGCAGCCGCCCUGGAGCAUCUCCAUGGGAUGAACUACAGGGAUGGGAGGGAUUUUACGGAGAAAGAGGGAUGUUAGUCACAGGCCCAGGGACUUCUAGGAAUCC